UGCGGGAUCGUCUAACGGUAGGACACGAGACUUUGGAUCUCGGUAUCAUGGUUCGAAUCCAUGUCCCGCAG
rnacentral:tRNA from 1 species